rnacentral:tRNA from 1 species
GAAGAUCGUCGUCUCCGGUGAGGCGGCUGGACUUCAAAUCCAGUUGGGGCCGCCAGCGGUCCCGGGCAGGUUCGACUCCUGUGAUCUUCCGCCAAAAUGCCUCUCCUGA